rnacentral:rRNA from 1 species
ACGGAGGUUCCAAGCGUUGUUCGGAAUUACUGGGCGUAAAGGGAGCGCAGGCGGAUAGGUCAGUUUAAAGUGGAAUCCCAGGGCUCAACCCUGGACGUGCUUUGGAUACUGCCUGUCUUGAGUUCGUGAGAGGAAAGUGGAAUUCAGGGUGUAGCGGUGAAAUGCUUAGAUAUCCUGAGGAACACCAGUGGCGAAAGCGACUUUCUGGCACGAAACUGACGCUGAGGCUCGAAAGCAUGGGUAGCGAACGGGAUUAGAUACCCCGGUAGUCCAUGCCGUAAACGUUGUAUACUAGGUGCAGGAGGUAUCGACCCCUUCUGUGCCGAAGCUAACGCAUUAAGUAUACCGCCUGGGGAGUACGCGCGCAAGCGUG